rnacentral:rRNA from 1 species
GAUGAACGCUGGCGGCGUGCCUAAUACAUGCAAGUCGAGCGAACGGACGAGAAGCUUGCUUCUCUGAUGUUAGCGGCGGACGGGUGAGUAACACGUGGAUAACCUACCUAUAAGACUGGGAUAACUUCGGGAAACCGGAGCUAAUACCGGAUAAUAUUUUGAACCGCAUGGUUCAAAAGUGAAAGACGGUCUUGCUGUCACCUAUAGAUGGAUCCGCGCUGCAUUAGCUAGUUGGUAAGGUAACGGCUUACCAAGGCAACGAUGCAUAGCCGACCUGAGAGGGUGAUCGGCCACACUGGAACUGAGACACGCUCCAGACUCCUACGGGAGGCAGCAGUAGGGAAUCUUCCGCAAUGGGCGAAAGCCUGACGGAGCAACGCCGCGUGAGUGAUGAAGGUCUUCGGAUCGUAAAACUCUGUUAUUAGGGAAGAACAUAUGUGUAAGUAACUGUGCACAUCUUGACGGUACCUAAUCAGAAAGCCACGGCUAACUACGUG